rnacentral:piRNA from 1 species
UCCUAGGUAGAAUCUUCCUUUAGGGGAGUC